rfam:Ornithorhynchus anatinus chromosome 4, whole genome shotgun sequence.
AGCAGAGUGGCUCAGUGGAUAGAGCACCAGCCUGGGAAUCAGAAGGACCUGGGUUCCAUCCCAACUCCGCUA